rnacentral:lncRNA from 10 species
AAUGGGAUAACUGGCCAUCCUUCCCAGAACAUUUAGACUCCUGACUCCCAGACCUGGAGUGACAGUUUCUCAUGUUAAAAUGAUCAGAAUAUCUGGCGGAUGAUCUCUCGUCGCUCGGGGACAAGUUUGUACUGGAUAACCUCCUCCAGCUCGGACAGCAUGUGGCAAGAAACCAUGGCCUGAUGGAAGCAAAUCGCAUUCCAAACUAAUUACUGCACGAACAAUCCAAAAGACAGGAUUAAUUUAAAUCAUUCCUUCUGGUGUCAGGGUAUCUGCCGAUCAGAGAAAACAGGCAUGUUUCCAGCAGCCUGGAUGAAAAGAGAAAUUCGCUGAAGAAGGGCAUUUUCCCAGAACUGAAUGGCUUGAGAGGAGGUAUUAUCCAAUUUCUCAUCGAAGACAGAAAUGUAUGGCAUCCAAAACUUUAACAUCUAUCUAAGGAUGGGGCUGGUUACCAGAAAGACCAAGUAAUUAUCGGGUUUGAACUUUCAGCCCUGUCCACUGACAUCCAGGAAAGGUGAAGAGGUUGAAAAUGAAAGGCAAUAAAAACUCUUGAACAAUGAGCUUCCAGGUUGAUGAAGGUGCUGGGAGGGUGAAGGUAAACCCCAGUACCACAGGACAGAAGCUUCUGCACUCCAGACCCUUCUAGACCUUCCCUCAUUGUACCUGUUCACCUCUAUCUUUUAUAAUACCCUUUAUAAUAAACAAG